UACGUAGGGACCAAGCGUUGUUCGGAUUUACUGGGCGUAAAGGGCGCGUAGGCGGCAAAUUAAGUCAUCUGUGAAAUCUCCGAGCUUAACUCAGAACGGCCAAGUGAUACUGCUGUGCUAGAGUGCAGAAGGGGCAAUCGGAAUUCUUGGUGUAGCGGUGAAAUGCGUAGAUAUCAAGAGGAACACCUGAGGUGAAGACGGGUUGCUGGGCUGACACUGACGCUGAGGCGCGAAAGCCAGGGGAGCAAACGGG
rnacentral:rRNA from 1 species